rnacentral:rRNA from 1 species
GACGGGGACCCGCACAAGCGGUGGAGCAUGUGGUUUAAUUCGAAGCAACGCGAAGAACCUUACCAGGCCUUGACAUCCCAAGGAAAGAUCCUUAACCGGAUCCCCUCUUCGGAGUCUUGGAGACAGGUGGUGCAUGGUUGUCGUCAGCUCGUGUCGUGAGAUGUUGGGUCAAGUCCCGCAACGAGCGCAACCCUUGUCCGUAGUAGCCAGCAGUAAGAUGGGAACUCUACGGAGACUGCCGGGGAUAACCCGGAGGAAGGUGGGGAUGACGUCAAAUCAUCAUGCCCCUUACGGUCUGGGCGACACACGUGCUACAAUGGCGUAAACAAAGAGAAGCGAAAGGGUGACCUGGAGCAAAUCUCAAAAAUAACGUCUCAGUUCGGACUGUAGUCUGCAACUCGACUACACGAAGCUGGAAUCGCUAGUAAUCGCGGAUCAGAAUGCCGCGGUGAAUACGUUCCCGGGUCUUGUACACACCGCCCGUCACACCAUGGGAGUUGGUAAUGCCCGAAGCCGGUGGCCUAACGAAAGAGGGAGCCGUCGAAGGCAGGACCGAUGACUGGGGUGAAGUCGUAACAAGAGGG